rfam:Dipodomys ordii contig_16237, whole genome shotgun sequence.
GGGAAGGUAACUCAAUGGUAGAGUGCUUGCCUUUCAUGCAUGAGGACCUGGGUUCAAUUCCUCAGCACCA